UACGGAGGGGGCUAGCGUUGAUCGGAAUUACUGGGCGUAAAGCGCACGUAGGCGGAACAGAAAGUCAGAGGUGAAAUCCCAGGGCUCAACCUUGGAACUGCCUUUGAAACUCCUGUUCUUGAGGUCGAGAGAGGUGAGUGGAAUUCCGAGUGUAGAGGUGAAAUUCGUAGAUAUUCGGAGGAACACCAGUGGCGAAGGCGGCUCACUGGCUCGAUACUGACGCUGAGGUGGGAAAGCGUGGGGAGCAAACAGG
rnacentral:rRNA from 1 species